rnacentral:rRNA from 1 species
CCUACGGGUGGCAGCAGUGAGGAAUAUUGGUCAAUGGACGAGAGCCUGAACCAGCCAAGUAGCGUGAAGGAUGACUGCCCUAUGGGUUGUAAACUUCUUUUAUAUGGGAAUAAAAUGUUCCACGUGUGGCUUUUUGUAUGUACUUUAUGAAUAAGGAUCGGCUAACUCCGUGCCAGCAGCCGCGGUAAUACGGAGGAUCCGAGCGUUAUCCGGAUUUAUUGGGUUUAAAGGGAGCGUAGGUGGAUUGUUAAGUCAGUUGUGAAAGUUUGCGGCUCAACCGUAAAAUUGCAGUUGAUACUGGCAGUCUUGAGUACAGUAGAGGUAGGCGGAAUUCGUGGUGUAGCGGUGAAAUGCUUAGAUAUCACGAAGAACUCCGAUUGCGAAGGCAGCUCACUGGACUGCAACUGACACUGAGGCUCGAAAGUGUGGGUAUCAAACAGGAUUAGAUACCCGAGUAGUC